rnacentral:rRNA from 1 species
AUUGAACGCUGGCGGCAGGCCUAACACAUGCAAGUCGAGCGGAAGGCGGACGGGUGAGUAAUGUAUGGAGAUCUGCCCGAUAAAGGGGGAUAACUACUGGAAACGGUGGCUAAUACCGCAUACAAUCCGAUGAACCCAUAUGGGAUUAGCUAUUAGGGGGGGUAACGGCUCACCUAGGCGACGAUCUCUAGCUGGUCUGAGAGGAUGAACAGCCACACUGGGGCUGAUACACGGCCCAGACUCCUACGGGAGGCAGCAGUGGGGAAUAUUGGACAAUGGGCGAAAGCCUGAUGCAGCCAUGCCGCGUGUAUGAAGAAGGCCUUAGGGUUGUAAAGUACUUUCAGCGGGGAGGCGUUACCCGCAGAAGAAGCACCGGCUAACUCCGUGCCAGCAGCCGCGGUAAUUC